CUUAAAUAGUUUAUAAAAAAUAUUAAUUUGUGGAGUUAAAGAAAUAAGUUUUAUUUUAAGUAA
rnacentral:tRNA from 1 species